GCCUCUUAAUGUGAAGUGGGUUUGUGAGAGACCGGAGGACUAAACCUAAAAAACAUCAUCUGCAACUGCCAGCCAUUUACACGCUGCCUUUUUGGAGUAAGGAAAAAAUGGCGCAAUUGUCCGAAUGAAAGAAAAGGGAAAGAAAAAUAAUAGUCAGCCCUCAUCCUUCUCCUACCAGCUCCCCUCCCUUCCCUUCGUCAACGGAAGCAUUUAGUGCCAUCUGUGCCCCCGGAGAAAAGCAAAAAGAAAGGAGCGAGACUCUACAUCCCAAGUGCCAAUGGGGACAAAGAGGCUGCCAGUUGCCAUGGACCACCAGAUGCUGGGAGACUGCAACACUGAAUGAGGGGUGUGCUUACAGGAAGCCAUCUUGAUGGAGAAACUGCCUGCUGCUCCCUAAAAUGGCUGUGUUGGCAUGAGGUUUCUAGCAAUGAUCAAAAGUGUGGAAGAAAAUCACUGUCAACAUCUGCUGCAAAAACUGAGGCCAUGCAGCUAUUUAUAACUGAGGUGGUCAAUCACAGCACUUCAGGAAUCCAGCAUUUACUCCAGAUGGCUCACUGUGAAACAAGCAGAUGUGAGAUGGAUUGAAAACUUGCACUAAUUGAUUUAACUGGGUGUCUGAAACCUUUCAUCCUUCAAGUAAUCACAAAUUUCUGAUGCUUGUGACUGAUUUUGUACAAUACGUGUGAAAGACAUGAUGGUUAGCUAGUUAAAUUUCAGGUAGGCUGUUAAAACAAUGUGUUACGAGUGCUAUGUAAAGUGAAGAAUAAUGUGCACUAAUGUGUGAAAUGUUUACAAAAAUGGUUUCUCUGAAUUAAUACACAAUGUCAAAGAUAUACUCAUUUGCAUUUCCUAUUUUGAAUGUAUACAUUAAAUGCCACUGUCUGUAUAUGAAUUGUUGGGAUCUAUUAAAAUGUGAUGUUUUGAUGGAUGUAUAAGAAAAAAAAACUUGAUCUGGUUAUGUCGAAUACUUGAAUGAUGUUUCUGCAUUUACUGUUACUCAGGAAAUAAAUCCUUUAACUACAAAAUCAAACAUAAUUAAGUUACUGAUAAAAUACUGAUGUCUUCACUAUAGACAUUUUUAAUGAGGUAGACGUCAACCACAUCUUCACAUGGUGGCCACAAGCUGUUUUGAAGCUUAUAGACCUGGCACUCCCAUCAGCACCUUGGACAGCACAUAACCAUAUGACGCGGGAAAUAACCGAUGAAUCACUAUUCUUAUUCAUGUGGACAAAACAGAAAUAAAGUAAUAUGUGCAAGUCA